rnacentral:rRNA from 1 species
GACGAACCGUGCGAACGUUGUUCGGAAUCACUGGGCUUAAAGGGCGCGUAGGCGGGCCUUCAAGUCCGGGGUGAAAUCCUCCCGCCUAACGGGAGAAGAGCCUCGGAGACUGAGGGCCUCGAGGAGGGUAGGGGCGUGCGGAACUCUGGGUGGAGCGGUGAAAUGCAUUGAUAUCCAGAGGAACUCCGGUGGCGAAGGCGGCACGCUGGACCCUUUCUGACGCUGAGGCGCGAAAGCCAGGGGAGCAAACGGGAUUAGAUACCCCGGUAGUCCUGGCCCUAAACGUUGGGAACUAGGUAGUAGACCAGACAUGGGUUUACUGCCGGAGCAAAAGUGCUAAGUUCCCCGCCUGGGGAGUAUGGUCGCAAGGCUGAA